AUUGAACGCUGGCGGCAUGCUUUACACAUGCAAGUCGAACGGCAGCACGGGGGCAACCCUGGUGGCGAGUGGCGAACGGGUGAGUAAUAUAUCGGAACGUACCCGGAAAUGGGGGAUAACGUAGCGAAAGUUACGCUAAUACCGCAUAUGCCCUAAGGGGGAAAGCGGGGGAUUCGCAAGAACCUCGCGUUUUCGGAGCGGCCGAUAUCGGAUUAGCUAGUAGGUGAGGUAAAGGCUCACCUAGGCGACGAUCCGUAGCUGGUCUGAGAGGACGACCAGCCACACUGGAACUGAGACACGGUCCAGACUCCUACGGGAGGCAGCAGUGGGGAAUUUUGGACAAUGGGCGCAAGCCUGAUCCAGCCAUGCCGCGUGAGUGAAGAAGGCCUCGGUUGUAA
rnacentral:rRNA from 1 species